AACACCACACGUUCUCACUCAUAAAUGGAAGUUGAACAAUGAGAACACAUGGAAAAAGGAGGGGAACAUCACACACUGGGGCCUGUUGGGGGAUGGGGGGCUAGGGGAGGGAUAGCAUUACAUGUGUAUCUAUGUAACAAACCCGCAUGUCCUGCACAUGUACCCCAGAACUUAAAGUAUAAUAAAAAAUAAUUUCCAGAAUCUCGUAUAAAAAAAGACUAAAAUUUAAAAUGCAGUUAUGUAAAAGACCAACAGAACUUAAAGAUAAUCACUGUAAGUGACUUACAGCAAAAAUUCAAAAAAUGAAAAAGACUAGUGUACUACAAGACUACCUGAAAAAAAAGAAAUAAUAUCACAGAGUAUCAAAAACUUGAAUGGGAACAAAAACUCUGCAGUUUGAGAUUUCUGAUAGUCAUGAAAAAGAAGACCUGUUGCAUAAAAACCACUUGAUGUAAAAUGAAAUUGCCAGGCUCAGGCUGGAAAUAGACACAAUGAAAAAUCAAAUCCUGGAAAAGAAAUACCUAAAAGACAUUGAAAUUAUAAAAAGCAAGCAUGAAGACCUCAAAAGGCUCUAAAACAGAAUGGGGAAACAUCAACAAAAGCGAUAGCCCAUUAUAGUGGACAGCUUACUGCUCUGACAGAGGAGAACACAAUGCUCCGUUCCAAACUGGAGAAGGAAAAACAAAGCAGGCAAAGACUGACGAAAUGGAAUCAUACCAUCGUAGACUGAAUGCUGCUCUACGUGAUCAUGAUCAAAGUCACUCAACUGAAAGAGACCAAGAGCUUGAUUUCCAGGGCACGGUAGAGAAAUUGUGUCAUUUACAGGAAAAUUUGAAUUCUCAUGUUCUGAUUCUUUCUCAACAACUUUCUAAAGCUAAGAGUAAGUUCUGGGUCCUCAAAACUGAGCUCCAUUACACGAGAGGCUCUGAAAGAAAAGGCUUUGGUUUUUGAACACAUACAAAGAGAGCUAAACCAAACAGUGUCAAAUGAAGGACAUUGAAAAAAUGUACACAAAUGGCCAAGAUAAAGUAGAAAAAUGCACAGAAAAGCAAGUAAGAUUAUGUCAACUACAAAGACAAACUAUGUUGCUUCAACAGCAACUGGAUGAUGUUCACAACAAAGCUGACAAUCAAGAAAAAAUAGUAAUUGAUAUUCAAGCCAAACGUGAUGCUACAGUACAAAAUAUUCAGGCUGAGUGCAUAAAGCACAGUCUUUUGCUAGAAGAGUAAGAGGAUGAUCAAUAAAGUUAAUCAUUUGAAAGAAAAACAAUGUCAAUAUGAAAGAGAGAAAGCAGAAAGAGAAGUAGUUGUGAGACAACUUUAACAAAAACAGAGUGAUGUCCUAAACAAUCAACAAAAGCUUCGCUGGAUGCUUCAUUGCGUCACUGCAUCCGUUGAGGAAGUGAGAUGCAAGAUUCAAGGAAGAAAUUAGGCCAGAUGAGAAUUCAAUUUCAAGAAAAACAGUAUCAACUUACAGCAACUAUGAGAUGUACUAAGGAGACACAAGGCCACAUACAAAAGCUCGAAACAGAAAAUUCCAUGUUAAGAAAUACAAUUAAAAAGCAAGAUGGCCAAAUUGAGCAGCUUCAGAAAAUCCUGUGAAGUUCAAUGCAGCAGUUGUUGAAAGAAAAUGAAACUACAGAAACAGAUGAAGCUUCUUCUGAAUUUAAAUCUGGAUCCUCUACAGCAGAGGUCCCCAACCUGCAGGCCACGGACAGGUCCAUGACCUGUCAGGAACCAGCCACACAGCAGGAGAGUUACUGUGGAUCUUCUAGAUUAUCUGCAUGCCACGUUUUAAUUUCCACAAAAAACAAAACAAACAAACAAACAAAAACGCCUGCUUGGCUUUGGAUGGGGACUGCACUAUAUCUAUAGAUUAAUAUGGGAAAGAAUUAACAUCAACAAUGUUGAGUCUCACAGCCUAUGAACAAGAUACUUACUUAAGUCUUCUUUAAUUUUUCUUAGCAAUGCUUUUUAGUUAUCAGUGUACAGAUAUUCCACAUAGUUUGUCAGGUUUAUUCCCAAGAAUUUUAUAUUUUAAUGCUAUUGUAAAUAGUAUUAUUUUUAAAUUUUCAAUUCCUAAUUCUUCUAACAGAGAAACAUAAUUGAUUUUUGUGUAUCGAUUAUAUAUCCUGCAGUGUCGCAAAACUCACUUGCUGGUUUCAGUAACCUGGUAAUGGAUUUUAUUUGGUUUUCUACAUAGAUGAUAAUAUCUGUGAAUAGACAGUUUUACUUAUUUAUUUUCAAUCUAAAGGCCUUUUAUUUUUCUCCUUCCCUCCCUCUUUCCCCCAACUCCCAAUUAAAACAUGAUUGCAGUGGCUAGAAUUUCCAGUACAAUGUUGAAUAUAAGUGGUAAGAGUUGACCUCUCUGUCUUAUUCUCAAUCUUAGGGGAAAACAUUCAGCCUUUCAUCAUUACAAAGGAUGUUAGCAGAAGAUAUUUUAAAGAUGCCCUUCAAUAGGUUGAGGAAAUUCUCUUGUAUCCCUAGUUUGCUGAGAUUAUUUUUUAAAUAAAGAAUGGUUGUUCAAUCUCAAAAAAAAAAAAAAAAAAAAAA